rnacentral:rRNA from 1 species
CUUGACUGCAAGACGGACAUGUCAAGCAGGGACGAAAGUCGGGACUAGUGAUCCGGCACCCCCGAGUGGAAGGGGUGUCGCUCAACGGAUAAAAGGUACCCCGGGGAUAACAGGCUGAUCUUCCCCAAGAGUCCAUAUCGACGGGAUGGUUUGGCACCUCGAUGUCGGCUCGUCGCAUCCUGGGGCUGGAGCAGGUCCCAAGGGUUGGGCUGUUCGCCCAUUAAAGCGGCACGCGAGCUGGGUUUAGAACGUCGUGAGACAGUUCGGUCUCUAUCCGCCGCGCGCGUCAGAAGCUUGAGGAAACCUGUCCCUAGUACGAGAGGACCGGGACGGACGAACCUCUGGUACACCAGUUGUCCCACCAGGGGCACCGCUGGAUAGCCACGUUCGGACAGGAUAACCGCUGAAGCAUCUAAGCGGGAAACCCCCUCCAAGACCAGGCUUCUCACCCAUUUAACGUGGGAUAAGGCCCCCCGCAGACCACGGGAUCGAUAGACCAGACCUACACGCACCGCAAGGUGUUCAGGGAACUGGCACUAACCGG